GGGGCUUUAGCUCAGCUGGGAGAGCGCCUGCAUGGCAUGCAGGAGGUCAGCGGUUCGAUCCCGCUAAGCUCUACCA
rnacentral:tRNA from 1 species